rfam:Acinetobacter sp. CIP 102637 genomic scaffold acLrO-supercont1.3, whole genome shotgun sequence.
GAAGUGGGCUGGACGGUCGCCGCUGUGGAGGUCUUCGUGACUGAAGCAGGGGAGGAAAGUCUGGGCUUCAAAGGGUAAGGUGCUAGGUAACGCCUAGGCAGCGUGAGCUGACGACAAGUGCAGCAGAGAGUAGACCGCCUCAUUCGUGAGGUAAGGGUGAAAGGGUGCGGUAAGAGCGCACCGCAUGGCUGGCAACAGUUCAUGGCAUGGUAAACUCCACCUGAAGCAAGACCAAAUAGGAAUCCAUUAGGUGUGACCCGCAUCGGAUUCGGGUAGGUCGCUUGAGCGUAUGAGUGAUUGUACGCCUAGAGGAAUGAUCGUCUUCGACAGAACCCAGCUUAUAGGCCCACUUCCAAG